UACGAAGGUCCCGAGCGUUAUUCGGAAUUACUGGGCGUAAAGCGUACGCAGGCGGUUGGUUAAGCGAGAUGUGAAAUCCCCGGGCUCAACCUGGGAACUGCAUUUCGAACUGGCCAACUAGAGUAUGAGAGAGGGUGGUAGAAUUUCAGGUGUAGCGGUGAAAUGCGUAGAGAUCUGAAGGAAUACCGAUGGCGAAGGCA
rnacentral:rRNA from 1 species